GUGAAAUUGUUGAAAGGGAACCGAUGGGAGGCAGUGUCGGCUGGGUGGUACUUGUAUCAUUUAGCAAGUCAGGCUUUCUUAAUUAUGUGGGAAAGGCUUCUAGACCAGUUUGGGCUAGUUUUGCUGUCAUGUGAUUGAGAGACUCUGACGAAAUGCCUCUUAUCAACCCGUCUUGAAACACGGACCAAGGAGUCUAACAUGUGUGCGAGUGCUCGGGGUAAAACUCCCAGCGCGGAAUUAACGUAAAGGUGGAUUUAUUCACUGAGGUAGGAUCUGUAAAGUGCACUAUCGACCGACCAUGAUCCUUCGGGAGAAAGGUUUGAGUGUGAGCAUACAUGUUGGGACCCGAAAGAUGGUGAACUAUGCCUGAGUAGGACGAAGCCAGGGGAAACUCUGGUGGAGGUCCGCAGCGAUUCUAACGUGCAAAUUGAUCGUCGAACUUGGGUAUAGGGGCGAAAGACUAAUCGAACCAUCUAGUAGCUGGUUCCUCCCGAAAUUUCCCUUAGGAUAGCUGCAACCGAACAGUUUUAUCAGGUAAAGCGAAUGAUUAGAGGCCUCAGGGGUGGAACGUCCUUGACCUAUUCUCAAACUUUAAAUGGGUAAGAGCCCUGGGUUGCUUAAUUGAACCCGGUGGUUGAAUGACGGUUGCUAGUGGGCCAAUCUGGGUAAGCUAGAUUGGCGAUGCGGGAUGAACCGAACGUCUAGUUAAAGUGCCAAAGUAUCCGCUAACC
rnacentral:rRNA from 1 species